rnacentral:pre_miRNA from 1 species
CAACUACUCCCUCCGUCCCAAAAUUCUUGUCUUAAAUUUGUUUAGAUACGGAUGUAUCUAACACUAAAAUGUAACUAGAUACAUUCAUAUUUAAACAAAUCUAAGAAAAGAAAUUUGGGACGGAGGGAGUACAAU